rnacentral:lncRNA from 1 species
UAGCAACUGGAUUUGCAGCAGAAACACCCUGCUAAAGAGCAAGUAUCUUGAUUCACAGCAAAGAGGACAAAGGAAAACAGCAAGUUAUAGGGCGUUGAAUCCUGGAUUAGUGAUGGUAGUCAUGGGGCACAAGAAGAAACACAUUCACAGGGAUUUAAGGCUACCACCACCUCAGUUCUUGACCUUCUCCAUAAGAUAGAGAAUUUUCUCAAUCGGGAAAAGAAUUACUUUGUAAAUGAUGAACUCUCACUUCCUAAAUUUUCUGCACUUGCUACUGUUGCUGGAGGAAAUGUCACUGUUAAAGAAUAGAAGACCAUUUUUCUAAAGAAGUAUUUCAGACUGACUGAAUCAGGUCUGGAACAUUAUUGAAAUGGUAAGAUAAAACUCAGCUACUUUCUGGUAAAAGGAAAAAUUCUUUUUAAAAAUGUGGUCCCUUCU